UACGUAGGGGGCAAGCGUUAUCCGGAUUUACUGGGUGUAAAGGGAGCGCAGACGGCGAAGCAAGUCUGAAGUGAAAUGCAUGGGCUCAACCCAUGAAUUGCUUUGGAAACUGUUUGGCUUGAGUGUCGGAGGGGUAAGCGGAAUUCCUAGUGUAGCGGUGAAAUGCGUAGAUAUUAGGAGGAACACCGGAGGCGAAGGCGGCUUACUGGACGACAACUGACGUUGAGGCUCGAAGGCGUGGGGAGCAAACAGG
rnacentral:rRNA from 2 species